ensembl:lncRNA
GUCAAACAUUUUUUUUAGGUUAAAAGUCCAAUCAGUACAAAAAGAUGUAUAACAAAAAGUGACUCAUCUUCCUCUGGUGUCCCCCAGCUCCCCUCCCCGCAGGCCACAGAUCCCUGUGUGUCCCUCCACAGAUGUGCUGCACUUCUAUGAGCACAGUCACCAGACACCUCUUAUGGGUCAGACAGCAGCUGGGCAUCAGAGUCACAUGGCACUUUUUCAAAAUGUCAAGGGGCCAGCCCGGUGGUGCAGCGGUUAAGUGCGCACAUUCUACUUCCUGGCGGCCCGGGGUUCGCCAGCCCAGAUCCCGGAUGUGGACAUGGCACCGCUUGGCAAGCCAUGCUGGGCAGGCGUCCCACAUAGAAAGUAGAGGAAGAUGGGCACAGAUGUUAGCUCAGGCAGGGUCAGUCUUCUUCAGCAAAAAAUAGGAGGAUUGGCAGCAGUUAGCUCAGGGCUAAUCAUCUUCAAAAAAAAAAAAAGUUUUCGAGACUCAGGACCCUUGUCAGACCUCUGGAGGUAGAAUUCCUAAAAUUGGAGCCAGAGUGUCUACAUUUUUUUAAGCCAGUGUUUUCUGUUGCUCAACCAGGCGGAGACCUCUGUACUCAAGAUGCAACGUCCCAGACACAAUUCCUGCUCCCCAGUCCCCUGAAGUCUGCCAGAGAUGGGCCCGGAGCUCCAACUACCUGGGCCACUGCUCAGAGUUGUACAGACUGUACCCUGCGCAGGGGCACCCAGACAAGCCCUGAAAUCUGGUCAAACCCUCGAACCAAGGCAGGUGACACCACAUCCAACCCCCAGAGGCGCUGGCACCACCUUCGAAUUUACUAUGUCAACUGUUCCAUGUGAAUGCAGGGAGACCUGUUCUGUGAUGCAGCAGCGCAGGCGGGGGCCCUCAGUCUGGCUGCAGGCCCGGGAUGACUUUCUGCAGGAGGUGAUGCUUGGGCCAAGUUUUGUAUAGAGUUGGAAUCAAAGAAGGCGGGCCUCUACCUGUACAUACUUCUCUCUCCCAGGUCGCCCCACUCCAACCCCGACCCCACAGCUCUGUAUGCUUAUCAGGGGCCACUGGCGGGGACACUUUAAUAACAAUGUACAUCCUGAAGGUCCUGGGAGACAGACUGGGAUGGAAGGAGGGAUCCAGCCGUAAGUCAGCGCAGCGCGCCUGGCCUGGGACAUCUUGAGGUUAAUUGACUUGGUGUCCAGAAGUACCUGCUUAGGGGAACAGGGAUGCAGGAGCCUUGUUCCUUCUGGCAAUCUGAGAGGUUCUGCAACGCCAGCAUCCACCUCUCAACAGCCUGAAUCGAUGCUAUCAAAGAGGUGUCCUCAGACCACGGCCAAUCCACAGACUGUUACCCAUCUGCAAUGAGCUAAGUACAGAAAUGGAAAGUAAGCAUUUAGAAACUUUUAAACAAUCUAACAAGGUCGGUUAAAGUCGAGGCUAGUAUUGUGCAUCUUUUUUUAAAUUUCAUUUUAUCUAUUAAAAUUUUUUAUUAUAAAAUAUACCGUUUUAACUAUUUUUAAGUGUAUAAUUCAGUGGCAUUAAGUACAUCCACAAUGUUAUAUAACCAUUACCUCUAUCUUGUAUAUUUCUUUCUUUCUUUUUUUUUUUUUGAGGAAGAUUCGCCCUGAGCUAGCAGCCACCGCCAAUCCUCCUCUAUUUGCUUAGGAAGGCAGACCCUGAGCUCACAUCCGUGCCCAUCUUCCUCUACUUUAUAUGUGGGACGCCUGCCACAGCAUGGCUUGACGUAGCACGUAGGUUCCGCACCCAGGAUCGGAAUCAGCAAACCCCGGGCUGCUGAAGCGGAAUGUGCGAACUUAACCACUGUGCCACCGGCCUGGCCCUCGUAUAUUUCUUUAAUUUUGCAAAAGUAUAAGUUCUCAGCAGAUUAGAAAAAAAUUUUUAAUGUCGUUUGAGAAGCACUGGCCUCAAUGUUGACCUCUGGGUUCCCAAAGCCUCAAAGGCUUGGGGGAAAUAGGCACCUGAUUGAAGGGCUUGUACAUUGUUUGGCUUCAUUUCCCCAAACUGUUGAGAUUUGCCCCAGAGAGUGGCAUGGCUGAGGCCCAGCCUCCCUGGGCUGGAGGAGCGGACGGAUGGGCACCAACCUGGAAGGGAGUGGAGGAGGCCUUGUGCUCCCCGGGCUGGGCAGAGGAGUGCUCUCCGGGGAAAGGCCUGCCCUGUGCCCUGGGCAAGGGGGCCCAAUGAGAUGCUGCAGGAUGUUCUGGCAGCCUUUCCCCCACUCAGCCGGCGGGGGGAGGCGAGUUGGUUUAGACUUCCAAGAAUGUCAGCUCCGACUGGAAGGGCCCUCAGUGACCCUGUUGUCUGCCCUCCUUGUUUAGAGGAAGAGCUUGAGGCUGGAGAGAAAGGACUUGCCCAAGGUUACAGCCAGUUAGUGGUGCUCCCAAAUCUAGGCCUUUCAGUUCCCAGGCAGGAGCGGGCCAGAGGUGUCUGGAGUCACACAGGAUGGGAUCAAGUUCUAGCUCUAUUAGCGCCAAGGGGCCUUGGGCAUCUGUACCCUCAUCUGUCAAAUGGGGAUAAUCCCUCACAGCUGGACGCGUACUGAGCCUGUGCUGGGUUUAAGGAGGGGCCUAGCCCAGGUUGGGGGAUAGGCAGGACGAGUCAGUGCCCUGCCCCUCCCUGCCCCUUCCUGCCCAGUGUUCCUCCUGCCGACUGCUGGGGCUUCUCAGCCUGCCACGGCCCCUUGCUGCAGCUGAGGGGACAGAGGAAGACAGACCCUCUCCCUCCAGACUGAGAAGAACAGGGGGCUCAUAACCUACCCCACCGGCCCCUCUGAGCCUCUCCCUCCCCAGCUGGCCAGCCCUCCAGGCCCGACCCCUCCGCUAACUCUCUGGGCAUCUUUGAGACAUUUUUGUCCUUUCUGGGACUCAGAACAUUUAUAAAAUGAAGGAGUUGAAUCAGAAGAACUCGAAAGUCCAUUUUGAGGAGUGGGUGCUGAAGUUUGGAUGCUUUAAAUUUCUGUAUCUUUUCUGGGAGAGUUAAACUCCCAGCAUGUCAGACUGGGCCGCCUCGGGUUCCUGGCCACCUGCCUCCCUCUGUUCUUGCCUUUCUCCGUACUUUCUCUCUCCCUCCAGUCUCUCUUUUCUCUCUUAUGGCUGAGGUGUUUUGAGCGCUUACCAUUUGCUAUGCACUGUUUAAGCAUUUUACAUAUUCCAUCCUGUGGAAUCCUUAAAACAUCCUUGUGAAGUAAAUACUAUUCUUAUCCCAUUUUCCAGACAAGGAAACUGAGGUUCGGAGAGUUACGUCACUGACCCACAGCUGGUCAGUGGGAGCGCCAUAGGAGGCACUGACACCAUUCCCCAGAUGGGCAGUUCAUUCUGGCCUGAAUUCACCUAAUUCAAAAUGGCGGGUGCCUGUUCUCACCUCCUCCCUCCUGUUUUCCCCAAAUGGGCUCUGACUCCCACCCCAGAGACGCCCCUGCUGGGCGCAUCACCAGGGCCGUCAGGGAGGAGGGUUUGGCUGUUGGUGGGCAGAGGAUCACUCCUCGGUUCCAGUUUCUGACUUGUAUCUCAGGUAUCAGGCCUCUACCUUCCACCUCCUUCCUCUCCUUUCUCUUCAGAUGUCCAAGAGCUGGAAGGUCCCCUAAGGGAUUACCCAGAACAGGCCUCUGCAUUCAAUCACUUAUUCAUUCACUGAACAAGUACAUUUCGAGUCCUCCUACCUGCCAGGCAGUGUUAGGCCCUGGGGAGACAGCUAUGUACAGGGCAGACAAGCUCCCUGUCCUCAAGAGCUUACAUUCUGGUGGAGGAGACAGACAAUAACAAAAGAUGAUGAGUGCAAUGGAGAACAUGAAAGGGGUGCUGUGACACACAGUGACCGCAGCAGGGGCGAGGUCCUCUACAGAGUAGGUGGGCAGGCGGCAGUGCACUCCUGGCAGAGAGAACAGCUAGUGCAAAGACCCAAAGGCAGGAACCAGCAGGUGUGAGGAAGGAGCACAAAGCCCUGCAUGGCUGGAGAGGAUGAGCAAGGGGCCCAGGGCAAGGGGGCUGGGCAGCGCCAGCCAUGCAGACCUUGGGCCAGGACGAGGGGUCGCAUUCUGUUCUGUGUGUGAUGUGAAGCCUCUGGGGACUUUAAGCAGGGGGUGAUUAUGUUUGUAAAGGACUCUUGGGCCACUGCGAGGAGAGUGGAUGUAAGGGGAGCAGGAGUGCGGGAGGGAGAAAUGAGGGUGGCUUGGACUAGGGGGGGUCAAUGCGAUAAAGAGACAAGGUCAGAUUCAGAGUCUAUCACAGUGGAGCCAACAGGAUGCUGAUGGAUGAGAUGUGGGCCGGGGCGGGGUGGGGGGGGUGAGGGAUGCCCCCUGGGGUUUUUCGCCUGGGCAGCUGAGUGAAUGGAGGUGUCAUCUACUCAAAUGGAAAAGCCUGGAGAAGGAACCCGGAUGGAAAGAAGCAAUGUUUCCACUUAACCUUCAUGGCAGACCCUGCUAGCUGGCUUCCCAGCAAAUCUAUUCUCUCUCCUUCUUUUUCAUAAUAGAAGGCCGAAAGGUUUUUUUUUUUUCUUCAAGCAUUGACCUGUCUGUCCCCUCCUUCUGCCUUUUGCCCUUUUCCCAUCCUCCUUUCUCCGGCCUGGAAUGGAGACAGGAUACUAGAGAUACAGCAGCCAUCUUGUGACAACUAGGGUAGAGGCCACUGGAUAAGAUAGCUGGAGCGGGGAGAUAGAUGGCGCCUGAGCCCUUGAUACUAUCACUGAGCUGGCAUAGCAGUCUUUGACUGCCUUUCCCCCGGGUUCUUGUUGUGGGAGGCAAAUUAAUCCUUUUAUUUGUUUAAGCCACUGUUUUGUGGCUUUUCAUUGCUUGCUGCGGAAUGCAGUUGUUGCUAACAGAGUCAUGUUGAGUUUGAGAUUUUGGAGGAGAAACCAGAAUUCAGUCAUUCAUUCAAGAAAUAUGUAUUGAGGACCUACUAUGCGCCAGGCACUGCUGAGAAUUCAGCAGUGGAUCAAACAGGUAAAAAUGCCUGCCCUUGAGGAGUUUAUACUCUGGAGUAACCUAGAAGCCGGACCUGACUUCUGGGCUAUGCAUUCUCAUUUGAUCCAAAGGUGGUAAGAUUUGAACUAUAAAGAGGGGACAGGGGUAAAAUGUGGCCUGUCUAUUCUCACAGGCUUCCUCAUCCACCCAUUAUGUUAGCAAAUUGAAAAUCAACAUAUUGGGGCCCGCCCCGGUGGCGCAGUGGUUAAGUGCGCGCGUUCUACUUCAGCGACCCGGGGUUCGCCGGUUUGGAUCCCGGGUGUGGACAUGCCAUCACUUGGCACGCCAUGCUGUGGUAGGCGUCCCACACAUGGAGUAGAGGAAGCUGGGCACGGAUGUUAGCUCAGGGCCAGUCUUCUUCAGCAAAAAGAGGAGGGUUGGUGGCAGAUGUUAGCUCAGGGCUAAUCUUCCCCAAAAACAAAUUAAAAAAUAAAUUUAAAAAAUUAAAAAAAAAAUCAACAUACUUCUCUGGUGUUUUCUAUAAGCCAAACACUAGGCUGCAUUCUCUCUCUGUGAGGGAGGUGUUAUUAUUACCAAGCCCAUUUUGCAGGAUGGUAAGCAAGCCGCCUCUGUCACACAACUAAGUGGCUGUGCUGAGAUUUGAACCCGGGGCUUUCUGACUCCAGAAACUCCACUGCACUCACUGACCCCCUGGGCCACCUCUUGGCCCCCUUUUCCUGCAAUCCUUUUGAUCACUGUUUGACAAACCAUUUCCUGCUUCCCCUUUCUCCUUGCUUUGGACAGGUACUAUGUCUCUUAUUCAUCUGUAUAUUCCGGGCACCUAACGAGGGCCUGGCACCCUUCAUCCAUUCAUCCCACUUUUCAAAAAAUGUUCUCUGUGCCAAUUGCUAGGAAUACAGGACAAGUCACAGAACAGCACACCCAGCCUAGGAGGGGGACAGGCAAUUAACAGGCGUCACAGUGUGGUGGGUGCUGGUAGGUAUCACAGGGGCCAAGAGAAGCACAGAAAAGGGCAACCAAGUCAGACUGAGGUGGUGGGGACCAGUCAACCAGUCGUGGAGGAGUCAGCAUCUGAGCUGAGUCCCAAAGGAGAAACAGGAGUAGAGCAGGUGAAAAAGCAGCCGUGGGUGUUUCAGGUGGAGGGAGCAGCACGUGGAGGAACGAGAGAGGCAAGACGGCAGCCUGUGGGAGCGACUGGACUAUGACAUGGGGGGAGUAGGGAGGCAUGAGGCUGGGGGAGGAUCUCAAGGCCCUCAGCCAGGGCUAGCAGUUUGGACUUGAUUUGGUAGGCACUGGGGAGCCGCCAAUGGGCGCUGAGCAGUGUGGGCCCUGGUCAGAUUUGCCUGGGCACUCUACAAAUACUUGAUGGAAUGAAUGAAUGAAAGAAGAAAUGGUAACUAUGGGGUCCCAUGCAUGUGUCCUGCAGAGAGGAGGGGGCGGUUAAUGAUCUGGCAGUGGAAGGACAAGGCAGGCAGACUCCCGGACACGAGCCAACCACUUCCCUCAGCUCCUCCUCCCUGGGCCUGUGACUCCCCUGCCUGGACACUAGUCACUUGCUGGGAUCUUUACGGGAGCCUCUGCACUAGUCCCCCUCUUUCUGCCCUGGCCUCUACAGUGUGUUCUCUAACACAGCCCCGGUGACCCUCUGAAGUCGGGUUCUCCACCCCAGCGCUCUGCCCAACCCCUUUGCCACCUCAGCUACAUCAAAAUGGAAGAAGAAAUUGCUGCUCUCGGCGUUUACAAUGGCUCUGGCAUGUGCAAAGUUGGCUUUAGCGGAAUGAUGCCCCCAGAGCAUCAUGGGAAAUGUGGGACAGGACAGAUACAUGGGUGAUGAGCUCAGAGCAAGAGCGACGUUCUGAGCCUGAAGCGCCUCAUUGAACUGGGCUGACAUGGAGAAAGACCUGGCAUCACACCCUCUACCCCCAGCUUCCUGUUGCCCCAAGGAACACCCUCUUCUCUUUACCAAAGUUCCACUGACCCCCAAGAGCAAUAGGGAGAGGACGGCCCAGCUCAACACCCUCCAGGCAUGCUGCUGCCCGGGUCGGGCCCUCCUCCAGGUGGUUGUGGACUCUGGAGUAGUGUUGCCCUCACAGUGCCUAUCAGUGAGGGUGACACCCUGCCCUCAGUGAGGGUGACACCCUGCCCUACGCCGGCCUCUGGACUUGACUGACCGUGACUUGGGAGAUGACCUCCUGGAGGAGAGCCUGACGGAAAGAGGUUACAGCCUCGCUACCACAGCUGAGAGGGACUGGUGUGUGACGCGGAGGGAAAGCUCUGCUGCAUCACCCUGGACCUGGAGCAGGAGAUGGCCCCCGCUGUGUCCUCCGCUUCCUCCCCGGAGAAGGGCUGUGAGCUUCUGAUGGUCAGGAGGUUGUCCUUGGCCAUGAGAGGUCCAGAUGUCCAGAGCGUCUCCUCCAGCCCUCGUUCCUGGGCUUGGCGUCCUGUGACAUUCAUGAAACCACUUUUAACUCGGUUCUGAAGUGUGCGAUUGACCUCUGAAAGGAUCUGUGUGCCCACACAGCAUUGCAGGGGGGCCAACAGAACGCAGGGAGAAAUCACGGCCAAUGAAGACAGUUUCUCCUUAGGCACUAAAAAUCCGGAGCGGUGGCUUCCUUGCAGGCUGCUCUCUCCGCCUUCCAGCAGAUGUGGAUCAGCAAGCAGCAGGGGGACGGGUCAGGCCCUCUGACUGUCCGCUACAAAUGCCUCCAAUGAUGCAACUGCAGAAUGUCUGUUGCAUGAGUUCAUUCACAAGUAUAACUUUACCCUGGCAAAAUAUAUACGCUUACGCUGGCCUCCUGAAACUGGAGCAGCUUUUGAGAAGAAAUCUGCCCAAUACUGAAAUGAACACCAUCCUCGGGUUGUAAAAUAAGAGAGAUGCUUCCGGAGGCCGGAGACUGAGCCUGUCCUGUUCUGUCCUGUGUCCCUGGCACCUGGAAUAGGGCCCAGCACACAGUAGAUGGAGAAACUGAGGCCCAGAGAGGGGAAGCGAUGUGUCCCAGGUCACAGAGAAAGCUAGCGACAGACAAUGGACUCAAACCCACGGCACCGUCUGGGCUUUUGCCUCUCUUCUCGUCCCGUCCUUCUGUCCCGCCCACCCUUUCCUCCCACAGGCCUGCAGCCAAUCUUUCCCAAGUGCCACUUUGGGCCAGCCUGGUGCCCUGGGCCCUGGGCUUCCUGCCCUGGAAGCUCAGGCUGCCUGAGGCUAUGUCAUUGCCACUUCCUCCUGUCAGACCUCCAGAGCUGCCUGCCCCUCCUCCCCACACCCUGUCCCGGCCACAGACUCUGCUACUCGUUUAAAAAUCCUGAUGCCCAGGUUGCUCCCCAGACCAAUGAGAUCAGAAUGUCUGGCGGGGGGGGGGGGGGGGGGGGGGGGGGGGAGGGGAUGGUCCAGGCAUCAGGGUUUUUUUUUUUUAAGAUGUCGGGGUGAUUCCAUUUGUAGCAAAGUUUCGAAACCUCUGUUUUAGCCUUGAUAAAUGGCACCUCCACCUCCUGUUCCUUGGCCCCUAGGCUGCAGAUAUUCUUUCUCGGGAUCUACUUUCUGGAUGCCUGGGCCUGGGCCCCAGGACAGUCCUCAGCUGGGCAAUCCCAACUCCUUCCUGCUCCUGCCCUUUGCCCAACAGGUCUCCGGUCUGCCGAGAUUGCCUGUUCUGAUCUGCCUCACCACUGCCAGGAACUCACUAAAUAUUUGUUGGUAAUGAUGUUGAUAAAUAUUUGCUGUUAAUGACCUCAGUCUGACCAAGAGGAUCCUUGAUGUAGAAGAAAGAAAAGGGCUUUUUUUUGUUGUAGGUCAUUCUAGUUCUUCUAUGUGGGACGCUGCCACAGCAUGGCUUGAUGAGUGAUGUGUAUGUCUGCGCCCAGGACCUGAACUGGGGAAGCCCAGGCUGCGGAAGCAGAGCACAUGAACUUAACCUUUUGGCCGUGGGGCGGGCCCCAAGAAAAGGGCUUUGAGGGCCAGCAGCUUGUGACCGGUUCCUCUGGCAACAGGCUGCUCUUGCCCAGGUGGUGGGGAAUGGCGACUGUUUCCAUGGGGAGGAAGUAGAACCUCAGGAAGGAAGGUGGCUGUGAGCCUUCCGAAAAGGACGCUGCCCAAGGGGGCUUCCUCCCAGGGCAGGACAACUGCAGCAGAGAGGUGAAA